rnacentral:rRNA from 1 species
UACAGAGGAGCCAAGCGUUGUCCGGAUUGACUGGGCGUAAAGCGCACGCAGGCGGACGCGCGCGUGGGGUGUGAAAUCUGGCCGCUUAACGGCCAGGCGCCAUCCCAUACGGCGGGUCUGGAGUGAUGCAGAGGUCGAUGGAAUUGCCGGUGUAGUGGUGAAAUGCGUAGAGAUCGGCAGGAACACCCAGGGGGAAACCAGUCGACUGGGCAUCUACUGACGCUGAGGUGCGAGAGCGUGGGGAGCGAACCGG